rnacentral:rRNA from 1 species
CCUACGGGAGGCAGCAGUGGGGAAUAUUGCACAAUGGGCGCAAGCCUGAUGCAGCCAUGCCGCGUGUAUGAAGAAGGCUUCGGGUUGUAAAGUACUUUCAGCGGGGAGGAAGGGAGUAAAGUUAAUACCUUUGCUCAUUGACGUUACCCGCAGAAGAAGCACCGGCUAACUCCGUGCCAGCAGCCGCGGUAAUA